rnacentral:rRNA from 1 species
GAUGAACGCUGGCGGCGUGCCUAAUACAUGCAAGUCGAGCGAACGGACGAGAAGCUUGCUUCUCUGAUGUUAGCGGCGGACGGGUGAGUCACACGUGGAUAACCUACCUAUAAGACUGGGAUAACUUCGGGAAACCGGAGCUAAUACCGGAUGAUAUUUUGAACCGCAUGGUUCAAAAGUGAAAGACGGUCUUGCUGUCACUUAUAGAUGGAUCCGCGCUGCAUUAGCUAGUUGGUAAGGUAACGGCUUACCAAGGCAACGAUGCAUAGCCGACCUGAGAGGGUGAUCGGCCACACUGGAACUGAGACACGGUCCAGACGCCUACGGGAGGCAGCAGUAGGGAAUCUUCCGCAAGGGGCGAAAGCCUGACGGAGCAACGCCGCGUGAGUGAUGAAGGUCUUCGGAUCGUAAAACUCUGUUAUUAGGGAAGAACAUAUGUGUAAGUAACUGUGCACAUCUUGACGGUACCUAAUCAGAAAGCCACGGCUAACCACGUG